rnacentral:rRNA from 1 species
CCUACGGGAGGCAGCAGUGAGGAAUAUUGGUCAAUGGGCGGGAGCCUGAACCAGCCAAGUAGCGUGCGGGAUGAAUGCCCUACGGGUUGUAAACCUCUUUUAUAAAGGGAUAACAUGAUGCACGUGUGCCUGUCUGCAGGUACUUUGUGAAUAAGGGCCGGCUAACUCCGUGCCAGCAGCCGCGGUAAUACGGAGGACCCGAGCGUUAUCCGGAUUUAUUGGGGUUAAAGGGAGCGUAGGUGGGUUGUUAAGUCAGUUGUGAAAGUUUGCGGCUCAACCGUAAAAUUGCAAUUGAUACUGGCAGCCUUGAGUACAGUUGAGGUAGGCGGAAUUCGUGGUGUAGCGGUGAAAUGCUUAGAUAUCACGAAGAACCCCGAUUGCGAAGGCAGCUUACUAAGCUGCGACUGACAUUGAGGCUCGAAAGUGUGGGUAUCAAACAGGAUUAGAUACCCUAGUAGUC